UGAAACUUUAGCAUGUUCCUUCAUCCUAAAAGGGAGCCCCACGAGAGCAACCCCGCCGCCGGCCAUCAUGCCCCAGCCCACCUCGCACCGCCACUGCCCUUCCCGCGCCGCCCAACUCUCCCCUACGCCGGAUCCAUGGCGGCCACAGCCCUCCCGCGCCGCCCAACUCUCCCCUACACCGGAUCCAUGGCGGCCACGGCCCUCCCGCGCCACCCAACUCUCCCCUACGCCGGAUCCAUGGUGGCCACGGCCCUCCCGCGCCGCCCAUCCUCUCCAACACCGGAUCAAUGGAGGCCACAACCCCUCCCGCACACUGCCGGCGAUGGAUCCAGGCACUACCGCCAGGCCUCGCAAGGACGGCGAUGAAUCGGACCUCCACCCCCACCCCGCUAAUGGCCGACGAUGGAUCUGUGCACCAUCUUCACCCGCCACGCUGCCCCUCGCCGGCGACAGAGCAAGCGGCUCCACUUCGGUAUAGGCUCCGGCGCCGCCCUUCCCCGACCGAAUCAAGCUGCUGCUGCUGCCUCUCAUCUUCUUCGGGCUUGCCUCCCAUGGCCUUCCCACGUGCUCUGUCUCCUCGCCGGCGGCCGUGCCCACCACCUCUCCGUGGCCCCUCUUUGGUUCUCCUCCUGCUAGCAAGCCGGCUCAGGCAGCACGCUCCAGCCAUGGUGAGCCUCCCGCGUGUGCCUGUGUAGUGCACGGUCCCUCGAGGUGUAGUGCGGCGGUGUGCGUGCACCCCAGCUCAAAGCAAUAGUGCAGUAAUGGGGAAGGAAGCGCAGGUGGUGGUACACGGUGAGCUCGAGGUCGCUGACGGCCUCCCUCUGCCCUUGCGCGUGUGAUGCAGUGUGGAACCAAGGCCAGCUCUUCACUGACCCCCUUCAUCAUAUUCCGGUGAGGUACCGGCCCAUACAUGAUAUGCAGUACUGACGGCGACGCCGUGCAGUUCCCCGUGCGAAUCCCGUCCAGUUCAGACGCUCAUUGAGGACUUGCAGCUCGCCCGUGAGUGGCUCGUGGUCCGCGCAGCUCGGGCAUGCAGUCAACUAUUGGUUCCUCCACCUGUUGCGCCGUCCUCCACGGUACAGUCCACACGGCCAGAGUUUGCCACAACCCACAACUCCAGCGGGGGGUAAAAGAGUGUUUGCAGGAUUGGCACAUGUACUUCCGGCAAGGCGGCAACGCAUCCAUGCAAGUUUUUUUCUUCCGUGUCUUUGUACAGCUCGGCGGUGUGGCAGUGUGCACCUCAAGUGGUUCAUCUCGUGUGUGUGUGUGUGCAGGCCGGCGUUGGUCAUCUAUGUUGCCGUGAUUUGGUGGCUGUCGACUAUGUAUGGUUGUACAGUGCGGUCAAGCGAUGUGUGCGGUUUAGCCUCACGAGUGUUGCAGUUUCGUUCACCAUGGCCGUUUGGUUUGUGCUGUUCGCUGGGUCUUGCUAUUUUUUAUUCUGUUUGAUUAAUGGCUUGUUAUGUAAAACGUGCAAAGUUUGUUUCGUAAUUGUUGGAAAACUCAAUAUAGUUCUUCUGCCAAACUA